rnacentral:rRNA from 1 species
UACGGAGGGUGCAAGCGUUGUCCGGAUUUAUUGGGUUUAAAGGGUGCGUAGGCGGUUCGUUAAGUCCGGGGUGAAAGCCCACUGCUCAACAGUGGAACUGCCCUGGAAACUGGCGGACUUGAGUACAGACGAGGGCGGCGGAAUGGAUGGUGUAGCGGUGAAAUGCAUAGAUACCAUCCAGAACCCCGAUUGCGAAGCAGCUGCCUAGACUGUAACUGACGCUGAGGCACGAAAGCGUGGGGAGCGAACAGG